GGGGGACAAGAUGGAGGAGUGUCCCGCUGAGGAGGACGACGGCUCGGCCAGGGACACAAAGGAGGACUCCGAUUCCCAGAAGCCUCUGGCCUCCUGACUCUCUGACUCCGCCCCUCUGCUUCUAUGACAUCAUCAUGACAUCACCAUGACUAUUAUUUUAUUUUAUUAUAUUUUUAGUGUGUUGGAUUUCAAACGGUUUGAGCCCGCCUCCCUGCUCUCUCUGGACAAAUCAGAAAUCGGACCUGAGCUGCCAAUCAAAGUGGUCGGGGCCUGAUUUCUUUUUUUAUUAUUAUAAUAAUGUUUUUAAUCUUUUGUCUCUUUCGGUUUCUCUGUCUGUUUGUUGGGGUGGCGGCCAUGUUGGAUGAUGUCACUCAGGGAGGGGGUGUGACUGUAAAACCAAAGUUCAUCAAUAAAUGGAUUCUUCUCUUUAA